rnacentral:lncRNA from 1 species
AAGAGGUCACCCACUGUGCUGGGAAAGACUAGUAUAUGCGUGUAACUGACCAUAUCAUGCCAGUAUUUUUACGCACAUAGCAACUAAGUGGACUUCACGAUGCACUUGAUGCAUCGACUGACCAGCCGGAACAAAGCGAUCGUUCCCCGAGUUAGGACCCGAGCCCUUGGGCUCGACUUCAUCUUUUGGUUUUGCGGGAUAAAUUACUUUUUUUUAUUUGUUUUUGAAAAAGAAACGAGAAGGAAGUUGCUUCUUGUCAAAGAGACAUUUUCUAGAAGUCUUGCGUUGCUAGUGUGCAUGCCGAAAAGGCCCGUUCGUCCUACAGACAGGCUGGAACAUCAGUUAUCUUUAACAACAACAUUUAGCUACUGCAACUAUGAAACCACCACGGUACUGAGGACCAUCCGCUUCUGGAAACUACACUUUCAAAAAGAAAACUACGAAAAAACAAAAGAUAUUGACGCGAUAUGCGCUCACUAUGUUCUAUAAUAGAUUAUGCAUAUCUUCAUGGACCACCAAAGGUCCGAUCACCUCAGCUAGAUCCUUCUUCCCUCUUGUUUUUCAGCUGAGGUUCUGUUCUCUCUUCAUUUCGUGAGGUCUGCAAAAGUGCUGUUGCAUCCUGACCUGUGGAACCCCAAAAGCGACUGUGUCUCCUAAACUUCCUUGAAGACUGUCUGAUGUGGGUUAGUCAUGCCGGUUGCCGUCUUCCAGGGGUAUUGAUAAUACCCCGAAACUAUAACAACGGCAUGUUUAAUCUGUCUCGCAAUGAUUGAUGACAGUCCCAAAAUUGAAGAAAUCCAGCUGAAUGGUGCAUACCUUCGUAAAUGAGCCCGAGGCAGUGGUUCCGGCACCCUGGCAGCGUGACUUUCUUUUUCUAUGGUGUCUCCACAUACCUAGAUAGGUAUCUUUGAUACUUGAUCUUGCAACGAUCUCGUACAACUGAAAUUGAUUUUUCUAGGGGGGGGAGGUAGUGUCCUUAUCGAGGAAAUUUGAUUACUUACAUGGUUGGCAACGAUGAUGGCUAGAUACAUGCCUAACGUAUGAAAUCUAAUCCAUGAAAAGAGCGGUGGGAAAGAGCCUCAUAGUAAAUACUAUAACUAACAAUCCAUGUCAUACCUACUAUCCAUCUUGUAAAUUGACAAGGUGUACGUGUACUU